CCUACGGGAGGCAGCAGUGGGGAAUUUUGGACAAUGGGCGCAAGCCUGAUCCAGCCAUGCCGCGUGCAGGAAGAAGGCCUUCGGGUUGUAAACUGCUUUUGUCAGGGAAGAAAUCCCUUGGGUUAAUACCCUGUGUGGAUGACGGUACCGGAAUAAGAAGCACCGGCUAACUACGUGCCAGCAGCCGCGGUAAU
rnacentral:rRNA from 1 species